rnacentral:misc_RNA from 1 species
GAAAUGCGAUACUUGGUGUGAAUAGCAGAAUCCCGCGAACCAUCGAGUCUUUGAACGCAAGUUGCGCCCGAAGCCAUUAGGUUGAGGGCACGUCUACUUGGGCGUCUCACGUUGCGUCGCCCGCGCCCUCUCUCCCCCUCUCGAAGGGGGGAAGAAGGUCUGCGGGCGAAUGUUGGCCCCCCUCGUCCACCCGUGCGCGGUCUGCCCAAAAGCGAGUUCCCCGCGACGGACGACACGUCGCGAUGAGUGGUGGUUAACAAACCGUUGCGUCGCCUCGCGCGCGUCCGGGCUGUCUUGGGAGGCCUGUCGUGACCCUAUCGCGCCGCCGCCAAGGAGCUCCGAUCGUGACCCUAGGUCAGGCGGGAUUACCCACUGAGUUUAA